rnacentral:lncRNA from 10 species
CUUAUGCUGGGCAACCAUUAAUCUGUUCUCCAUAAAAAUUUGUAAUUUUAAAAAUGUUUUAUAAACUGAUUUUUAUGUGAUCUGUAAUGUUUGUGAGGGUAUCUCUGUAUUAGUUUGCUAGGGCUGCCAUAAAAAAAUAGUGGGUAGCUUAAAUAACCGAAAUUUCUUUUCUCACAGUUCUGGAGGCUGGAAGUCCAAGAUCAAGGUGCUAUCAGGGUUGGUUUCGGCUGUGGCCUCUCUUCCUGGCUUGUAGACAGCUAUCUUCUCGCAGUGUCCUCACGUGGCCUCUUUGUGUGAAGGAAGCUGCUAAAGAAUGUGCUUGACUAAAACAAGGCAAUAAGCAAAAGGAAGUCAUAGCAUCCAGAAAAUGGGAUCCAUCAUGCGCACAAAGAAAAGGUGAAGAAAAUUUCCAGGAUGUUCAGAACCCACCAAAAACGAAAGAUUCUGGUCCAGAUCAGAAGAGAGGGAAACACUCUGAAAAAGUCCCUCAAAUACAAAAUUAAACAGAGUUUAAAUGAUGUGCUUGACCACAAUAAAAGGCUUCUUGCUCUGUAAGAUUUCUGGAAUUAAUUAGUGAUAAGCAAAGAUAAAUAUAAGCAAAUCAUCACAACAGAGUGAACACAUUCCAGUAGACCACAUGGAUGAGCUUUGGAAAAUACAGAUAUACGCAUAAUGUAAUCCCUUAAUUUCUGGGAGGCUGGAGGGAGGGAAAGUUUGAGAAGGUAAAAUGUGUGUGUUAAGAGUGGGAGUGGGUAAUAUGGUUAGGCUUUGUGUUCCCACACAAAUCUCAUCUGGAAUUGUAAUCCCCAUAAUCCCCACUUAUCAAGGGAGAAACCAGGUGGAGAUAACUGAAUCAUUGGAGGCAGUUUCCCCCAUGCUAUUCCUCUGAUAGUGAAUUCUCAUGAGAUCCAAUGAUUUUAUAACGGACUCUUCCCCCUUCACUCAGC